UACGUAGGGUGCAAGCGUUAAUCGGAAUUACUGGGCGUAAAGCGUGCGCAGGCGGUUUUGUAAGUCUGUCGUGAAAUCCCCCGGGCUCAACCUGGGAAUGGGCGAUGGAGACUGCAAGGCUAGAGUUUGGCAGAGGGGGGGUAGAAUUCCACGUGUAGCAGUGAAAUGCGUAGAUAUGUGGAGGAACACCGAUGGCGAAGGCAGCCCCCUGGGUCAAGAUUGACGCUCGAUGCACGAAAGCGUGGGGAGCAAACAGG
rnacentral:rRNA from 1 species